UAAUUAGUCAAUGCUCGCAGAGUGCAACUAGCUCAACUGACAAUCACAAAAACACAAAAUGGUGCUUAUUGUGAUAACGUAAGGGAAAAAAAUGAUAUCACCUUACUAUAAGUGUUGUCUAAAUAACUGGUGCCAGAAGACUCGGUAACACCAGAAACGCGAACGUUAGUCGUCUUAAACAGGCGUAAAGGGUAAGUAGGCUGCUUUAAACGUCUUUUUUUAAAAAAGCUAAUUAAUAAUUUAACCUAAAAUUUUUCAGACCUUAAUUUAUAAUUUAAGGCUAACUAAUAAUGAAAAAAGGUAAUUAUUAGUUUUUCUAAUAAUUAUAAUUAUUAAAUUAAAAAAAUAGAUACACUUAAAGCUAGAAUCAUAAUUGAGAUAAACCAAAUAAUACUUAUGUGUAAGGGCGAUAUCUGAAAAUACUAAGUAGAAUACUAACGGUGAAAACUUUUUAUCUAGUAAUGAUUGACGCUGAGGUACGAAAGUGAGAACAGGGAAUAGGAUUAGAUACCCAGUUACCUCUCACCGUCAACGAUGAAUGGUAGUUGUUAGUUUAAUUAAAUUAGUGACGAUGUUAACGCGAUAACCAUUCCGCCUUGAGAGUACGGUUGCAAAACUGAAACCAAAAAAAUUAGUCGGUCUCGGAGCAAACGAGUGAAGCAU
rnacentral:rRNA from 1 species